rnacentral:rRNA from 1 species
AUUGAACGCUGGCGGCAGGCCUAACACAUGCAAGUCGAGCGGCAGCGGAAAGUAGCUUGCUACUUUGCCGGCGAGCGGCGGACGGGUGAGUAAUGUCUGGGAAACUGCCUGAUGGAGGGGGAUAACUACUGGAGACGGUAGAUAAUACCGCAUAGCGUCGCAAGACCAACGAGGGGGACCUUCGGGCCUCUUGCCAUCAGAUGUGCCCAGAGAGAAUUAGCUAGUAGGUGGGGUAACGGCUCACCUAGGCGACGAUCCCUAGCUGGUCUGAGAGGAUGACCAGCCACACUGGAACUGAGACACGGUCCCGACUCCUACGGGAGGCAGCAGUGGGGAAUAUUGUACAAUGGGCGCAAGCCUGAUGCAGCCAUGCCGCGUGUAUGAAGAAGGCCUUCGGGUUGUAAAGUACUUUCAGCGGGGAGGAGGGUGUUGAGGUUAAUAACCUCAGCAAUUGACGUUACCCGCAGAAGAAGCACCGGCUAACUCCGUGCCAGCCGCCGCGGUAAGAC